CUUGCAAUGAUGAUAGAACAGACAGGGACAUCAGCACCCGUCUCUGGGGGAUGAUGAUUUGUCGAUGGGAAUCUCUCUGAUGCUUG